UACGUAGGCAGCGAGCGUUGUUCGGAGUUACUGGGCGUAAAGCGUGCGUAGGCGGUGUCUUAAGUUUGUUGUGAAAUCUCCCGGCUUAACCGGGAGGGUGCGGCGAAUACUGAGAUGCUGGAGUGCGGGAGAGGUAAGCGGAAUUCCCGGUGUAGCGGUGAAAUGCGUAGAUAUCGAGAGGAACACCUGCGGUGUAGACGGCUUACUGGACCGUAACUGACGCUGAGGCACGAAAGCGUGGGUAGCAAACAGG
rnacentral:rRNA from 1 species